UGACCGUACUAAGGUAGCAUAAUAAUUUGCCUUUUAAUUGGAGGCUAGUAUGAAUGGCUUGACGUGAAAUAUACUGUCUCAACUAUAUUUAGUAGAAUUUAACUUUUAGGUGAAGAGGCCUAAAUCUUGUGGGAAGACAAGAAGACCCUAUUGAGCUUUAAAUAUUUGUGUUAGUGAGAACCUAAGAUUUAUAUGAUGGUCACUACUUCUGAGUAUGUUGGUUGGGGCGACCGAGGAGUACAAAAAUAACCUCCUCGUAAUGUAAGAAAUUUGUUAUCAGUGAACCUGUAAUAUAGGUUAUUCGGUAGUUACCAUAGGGAUAACAGCGUAAUUCUUUUGAAGAGUUCAUAUCGAAGAAAGAGAUUGCGACCUCGAUGUUGGAUUAAGGUGUCCUAAGGG
rnacentral:rRNA from 1 species